rnacentral:rRNA from 1 species
GACGAACGCUGGCGGCGUGCUUAACACAUGCAAGUCGAACGGAAAGGCCCUGCUUGCCGGGUACUCGAGUGGCGAACGGGUGAGUAACACGUGGGUUAUCUGCCCUGCACUUCGGGAUAAGCCUGGGAAACUGGGUCUAAUACCGGAUAGGAGCCAUUUUUAGUGUGAUGGUUGGAAAGUUUUUUCGGUGUAGGAUGAGCUCGCGGCCUAUCAGCUUGUUGGUGGGGUAAUGGCCUACCAAGGCGGCGACGGGUAGCCGGCCUGGGAGGGUGGACAGCCACAGUGGGACUGAGAUACGGCCCAGACGCCUACGGGAGGCAGCAGUGGGGAAUAUUGCACAAUGGGCGCAAGCCUGAUGCAGCGACGCCGCGUGGGGGAUGACGGCCUUCGGGUUGUAAACUCCUUUCGCUAGGGACGAAGCUUUUUGUGACGGUACCUAGAUAAGAAGCACCGGCUAACUACGUG